UACGUAGGGGGCAAGCGUUGUUCGGAUUCACUGGGCGUAAAGGGUGCGUAGGUGGCUUGGUAAGUUUGAUGUGAAAUCUCCGGGCUUAACCCGGAAAUGGCAUUGAAUACUAUUGAGCUGGAGGUUUGGAGGGGGGACUGGAAUUCUCGGUGUAGCAGUGAAAUGCGUAGAUAUCGAGAGGAACACCAGUGGCGAAGGCGAGUCCCUGGACAACACCUGACACUGAGGCACGAAAGCUAGGGGAGCAAACAGG
rnacentral:rRNA from 1 species